rnacentral:tRNA from 1 species
CCGGCCUCCUAGCUGACAGGGACCGCGCGGCUUUCCCCGGGCCGCCGGGGGCAAACGCACACCCGGCCCGGACCGUCCGGGGACGGUCCGGGCCGGGC